AGAUAAGAAGCAAAUAUUGCAUUUAGUUUCGGCCUAAAAAUUUGGUUGUAUAUACAGCCCUUGUCUA
rnacentral:tRNA from 1 species